rnacentral:tRNA from 1 species
UGGGCCGAGCUGGAUUUGAACCAGCGUAGACAUAUUGGCAACGAAUUUACAGUCCGGCCCCAUUAACCGCUCGGGCAUCGA